rnacentral:lncRNA from 1 species
GGACUGGGAGGGGCCUCAGAACAGGGGAUGUCGGGGCUGGGAGGGGCCUCNNNNNNNNNNGUUCCUCAAAAUCGAGUUCACCUUCCAAGAGAAUCAUUUGCCCAAGAACAUGUCGAAGGCACCAGAGGUGACUUGAAAGAUGGAAUAUUUGGCAGCUGGAACCUCAGGGGCCUCUUGCAAGUCCUAGCCAGUGAGCGCCUCGGUGGUGACUGCGGAAGAGGAUUUGCUGCCAGGCCCCCGGCCCAGCGAGGAGGGGCUCCCAGAGAAGGAUACCGGGGAAUUGGCCAAGCAGAGCCGCCUCCAGACAGAGAUACUGGAGCUGCAAAAGGAGACACUGCAGCUGCAGAAAGAGAAGAUUCUCCUGGAAAAGGAGAAACUGGUCCUGGAGAUCGUCAAGCUGAGGCGGGAGCUGGGCACCUGAGCUGCCUGACCCUGCCUGCCUGCCUGCUGCCCACAGACAAACUCCUGAGGAGAAGAUCCUGGAGCCCGCCGCCUGCCCGUGCCCAGAGAGGCCUUCUCCUUCACAGGGCCCAUCUGGGCCCGCCCAGGCGAAGCCUCUGCCUCCUCCUCCUCCUCCUCCUCUGCUGUCACUCAGCAGUUACCGCCCUCUGGGGCAGGGGGGCAGGCUCCCUGUGGCUUGCUUCUGGGAAGAAGCCCCAGGAGUCCUGUUUGAGUUGGGCUGGGAAGGGUGUUAGAGGCUCCCAGCCCAGACUUUGCCCCACGGAGCUCCGCCUGGGCUGUGUGGGGUCAGAAAGCUGAAGCAAGAGCUCAGAGCCCCUUAGCAGGUGCCAGGGGGUGGGGAUGAGCGCAUGCCAGCACUCUGCCCCAGCUCAGGAGGUCCAGCGUUCAGGCCAGGCCUCCAGUGGCUGUAGGUCAAGUCGACAAGGACAUAUUUCUCAGAACCCUGUCUGUGUGCUAAGGGGACGGGCUGAUGGAUCCCUGUGCCAGGAGUCUGGGCCUCUUGGUGCUGCUGUCAGAGAAGUAAAAGCAUCCAGGUUUCCUCAUCACUGGGUCUGCCUCCCUGCCUGUUCUGAUUCAGCCUUCCUUUUUUAUGGGGGGAACAGUGGUUGGGCAGCCUUGGCAAGCCCUCCGUGGGGUGCCUAGUUGUCUGUCCACACAGGAAAAUCACCCGUGUUGCCUGCCCAGGAGAGGCAGCUGGGCAGGUCCAGAAGGGCCCUGGGAGCCCAAGCCCCUGUGGGACAGAGAAGGAAAGGGAGGCCGGAGAGGGGAGAAGCUUGUGUCCCUCCUCAGGUGCCCUUGCUAUGUCCAGGGCUGGCGCAGGCACUGACCCCCAGCUUAACUUGGUGCUUGUCUCAUCUGCCCUCCUGGUGUCUGUGGAAUUCGUGAGAAC